GCCUUAGUAACGGCGAGUGAAGCGGCAAUAGCUCAAAUUUGAAAUCUGACCUUUGGUCCGAAUUGUAAUUUGUAGAGGAUGUUUCGGCUUACGCCCCGGUCUAAGUUCCUUGGAACAGGACGUCACAGAGGGUGAGAAUCCCGUUUGUGGCCGGCGGCCCCCGCCAUGUGAAACUCCUUCGACGAGUCGAGUUGUUUGGGAAUGCAGCUCUAAAUGGGAGGUAAAUUUCUUCUAAAGCUAAAUACUGGCCAGAGACCGAUAGCGCACAAGUAGAGUGAUCGAAAGAUGAAAAGCACUUUGGAAAGAGAGUUAAAAAGUACGUGAAAUUGUUGAAAGGGAAGCGCUUGCGACCAGACUUGCCCGCGGAUGCUCAACCGGUCCUUCGGCCGGUGCACUCUUCCGCGGUCAGGCCAGCAUCAGUUCGGGUGGUCGGAUAAAGGCCUUGGGAAUGUGGCUCUCUUCGGGGAGUGUUAUAGCCCUUGGUGCAAUACGUCCUACCUGGACUGAGGCCCGCGCUUCGGCUAGGAUGCUGGCGUAAUGGUCGUAAGCGGCCCGUCUUGAAACACGGACCAAGGAGUCUAACAUCUAUGCGAGUGUUUGGGUGUCAAACCCGUGCGCGAAAUGAAAGUGAACGGAGGUGGGAACCUUAGGGUGCACCAUCGACCGAUCCUGAUGUCUUCGGAUGGAUUUGAGUAAGAGCAUAGCUGUUGGGACCCGAAAGAUGGUGAACUAUGCCUGAAUAGGGUGAAGCCAGAGGAAACUCUGGUGGAGGCUCGCAGCGGUUCUGACGUGCAAAUCGAUCGUCAAAUUUGGGUAUAGGGGCGAAAGACUAAUCGAACCAUUAAAAACGGCUUUUUAUCAAAAAUGAUAAAUUUUUGCUACUAGGUGGUUAAGAGGCAGCUAAAAGUGCAUGCCUAGUCCCUUCAUUCGGGGCGACACCGUCAAAUUGCGGGGACUUCCUUAGAGCCUGAACUACCGCGGCCAAUCGAAAGAUAUGGUGCAGCACCAGGGUAAUGACCUCGGGUAUGGUAAAAACGUUCAGGAUUGGAUAAUCCGCAGCCAAGUCCUAAUGGCCGCCUCCCUCUCUAAAAAAGUAGGGGCGGUACGGAUGCAGUUCACAGACUAGAUGUCGGUGGGUAUGGCCUAAAAAAUUGAUAGGGUCAUGCUUAAGGUAUAGUCGAACCCCCAUGGAAACAUGGGCAGAAGGUCCAAAGUCUCUUAGGCGAAUGAGCAUCGAUAAAGAUGCGCCCUAGUGACCCGAAGUCCCUCUGGAGAGCUG
rnacentral:rRNA from 1 species